CUCCUGCGCCGUUUCGUUGGUCUGUGGCGGUGGUUAUGGUGGCCUAGGUCCAGGCUGGAUUAUAUAGGUUGUUUCUGGUUGGGUGGAGGGUGAGUGGCUUGUUGUUUCUGUCCCUCUGGCUUGUUUCAGGUAGUUCUAGGCUCUGUUGGUCUCUGGGGGAAUGCUUUAUAAGGUUUGGUCAGUGGGGUUCCGCUUUGUGUAUGCCCCAUUUCUCCCUGCUUGACUGAUGCCCCUGGCAUGUACCUUGAUUUGCCCAGUGUAGUUCACCAGCAUAGCCUUGGGACGGGCUGCCAUGGUGGUCUGAUGGUGCUGGGUGUGUUUCUCCUCAAGCAGUUCUAUCUUCCAGGCCUUUUGCGCACAUGGCUGGCGGCGGCCAUCUUGUGGAGCUUUGCCCAGUGGAUUUCUCUCGCCGGGGCGGUUGUUUGGGCUCAGCUUAGGGUGGUGUGUGGUGCCCUUGCAGACCGGGAUGACCCCCCCGGUCCAGAGGGGGGGGGGGAGCGACACGUCGGCCGGAGACCCGGGAGAGCGGCCGUCUCGUCCCGGCUCAAGCUCCAGCGAGAACUGGGC